UCCUUCUUGGUGUUGGAUGAGGCAGACACA
rnacentral:piRNA from 1 species